rnacentral:rRNA from 1 species
AUGAACGCUGGCGGCAUGCCUAACACCUGCAAGUCGAUCGGUAAGGCUCUUCGGAGUACACGAGAGGCGGACGGCUGAGUAACGCGUAGGAACACACCCUGCAGUGAGGGAUAAGACACCGAAAGGUGUUCUAAUACCGCAUACGGUCUUCGGAUUAAAGCAUUUAUGCGCUGAAGGAGUGGCCUGCGUCAUAUUAGAUAGUUGGUGAGGUAAUGGCUCACCAAGUCGAUGAUGUGUAGCUGGUCUGAGAGGAUGAUCAGCCAGACUGGAACUGAGACACGGUCCAGACUCCUACGGGAGGCAGCAGUGAGGAAUAUUUCACAAUGAGCGAAAGCUUGAUGGAGCAAUGCCGCGUGCAGGAUGAAGGCCCUCGGGUUGUAAACUGCUUUUAUAAGAGAAGAUUAUGACGGUAACUGAUGAAUAAGGGACGGCUAACUACGUG